CAACAAACAAACAUUAUAAAUUUGUUAAGGCACACAUCUAUAUAUGGAUAAAGAGGUAUGAAAGCAUGUUUAACUCUAAAAGAUAGUCCUUAAUAAUACAGAAUUAGGCAGAUUUCAUUAAUCAAUUCAAACUAAGUUUGACAUGUCUUAACUAUAAGUAAUAACAUUUAGGGUAACAUGUCCUAAUGGCAGUAACACAUUGAGCAAAUAAUCAUAAUGAAAGGGGCAGAAGAUUCAAUAACUCACCAGUUAAGAUGAACAAGGAAAAAGAAUCCAACAGUAUAGUAAAUAGCACCAAACGGAAGUAAAAAGAUUGUUUGCCUUGGCUUUCAACCGGCCAAGAAUCAAAACACAAAAUAUUUUUGCUCAAGGGAGAGCAAGAGUACACAGCUUUUGGUAUAUAGUAGUGAAAUGGUUUUUUGAGCUUUGAAUCUUCUCCUUUUUUAUCAAAAGGGAGUAGAGAGGGGUUUAAAUAGUGCUAAGACUAGAGCAUAGAAAUAGCUAAUUAAAAUAUUAAAAGGCAAGUGCUCAAAUCAGUGGGAUUGAAACCCCAAAUUUUAGGUGAAGAUACACAAAAUCAAUAGGAAAUGAGGUAAAGAAUCACAUAGGCAUAUAAUGAAUAGACUAGAGAUUAUUAUAUAUAAAAAAAGGAAUACUGAAUCAAACAAGAUUUGGUUAAAGUAAAAGGGUCUGAAACCCUAAGUUAGGUAAACCACAAAACUGCCAGAAAAUAAAGGCAAGAAUCACAUAUUAACAUAAAAAUAAAACGUAGGUAAGAAAUUAUUCAAAAGAAAACCUAGAAUCGAACUAGAUUUGGUUCAAGUAAAAGGGUCGGAAACCCUAAAUUAGGUAAGUGAAGGGAGUCGACAAAAAUAAGCAGAUUCACAAGUAAUAGAAUGAUUAUAGAUGGAAAAUGCUAGAAAUCAGAGUUUGAACCAGUUUAGGUUCGAUUCAAAGAAAAAUCCGGAACCCUAACCUUUAAGGUUUAGUGCGAAUCAACGAGAUAUGAGAGAAUCAUUACAAAAUAACGUGCUUGGACUCAAGGUUGUCCACAUUCAAGAGACAAACAUAGAUUUGGACGGAAUCAAAGCGGGGUACUUUCCAUGUUUAGGCAAGUACCUAAGUCACUCCGUAACAUAGCACCAAAUAAGGGAAAAAUGCUUAAAUGGCAAAGGAAAAGGG
rnacentral:lncRNA from 1 species